rnacentral:misc_RNA from 1 species
ACCAAGUGAAGCUGCGCGCGAUGAAGAGCUUUAUUGGCGAGGGCGACAAGGUGAAGGUCACUUUGCGUUUCCGUGGCCGCGAAAUGGCGCAUCAGGAGUUGGGCGUGAAGGUACUGGAGCGUAUCCGUGGCGACAUGGAGGCUGACACCAAGGUUGAGCAGAUGCCAAAACUGGAAAUGCGCCAGAUGGUUAUGGUAUUGGCGCCGAAAUAAGCGUAGGCCGUUCUAAACCAAAAAGCCCGGUAUUUUACCGGGCUUUUUAUUUGGUUGGGCCGUACGGCCCGGAUUAUUCAGCUU